GAUGAACGCUGGCGGCGUGCCUAAUACAUGCAAGUAGAACGCUGAAGGAAGGAGCUUGCUCUUUCCGGAUGAGUUGCGAACGGGUGAGUAACGCGUAGGUAACCUGCCUGGUAGCGGGGGAUAACUAUUGGAAACGAUAGCUAAUACCGCAUAACAGUAGAUGUUGCAUGAUAUCUACUUAAAAGGUGCAAUUGCACCACUACCAGAUGGACCUGCGUUGUAUUAGCUAGUUGGUGAGGUAACGGCUCACCAAGGCGACGAUACAUAGCCGACCUGAGAGGGUGAUCGGCCACACUGGGACUGAGACACGGCCCAGACUCCUACGGGAGGCAGCAGUAGGGAAUCUUCGGCAAUGGACGGAAGUCUGACCGAGCAACGCCGCGUGAGUGAAGAAGGUUUCCGGAUCGUAAAGCUCUGUUGUAAGAGAAGAACGAGUGUGAGAGUGGAAAGUUCACACUGUGACGGUAUCUUACCAGAAAGGGACGGCUAACUACGUG
rnacentral:rRNA from 1 species